rnacentral:lncRNA from 1 species
UGAAAGGAUUCUGAUUCGCCCUUCCUGAUUCUUCUUGUAUGGAUUGCAGUUGCAGUUUUAGUUUUAGAGAAAGAGAGAGAUUGUACUCCACUUAUUAUUAUUAAUCUGUGCAUAUUCAAUAUACCCACUACUGGUAGUUCUUUUGCUUGGCUCUGUUUUGUGGUUUUGCUUUUGAUUUGAUGUGGGUUUCAAUUUUUCUGCUUUCUAAAUUCUCUUGGCUAUCUGAGAGCACAGUUUCUGAUUCUGUUUUCUUGAAAAUUUUAUUUUGAAAAUUUUCAACUUCUGCUUUUAAAAUAAAC